AUGUACCACGCGUGCACGUCGGUUCCUCCGCGGCGUACGCACCUAGCGACCGCCCGCUCCGUGUUGAUAGCC
rnacentral:sRNA from 1 species